rnacentral:rRNA from 1 species
AGCGGCGGACGGGUGAGUAACGCGUGGGUAACCUGCCCUGUACACACGGAUAACAUACCGAAAGGUAUGCUAAUACGAGAUAAUAUACUUUUAUCGCAUGAUAGAAGUAUCAAAGCUCCGGCGGUACAGGAUGGACCCGCGUCUGAUUAGCUAGUUGGUAAGGUAACGGCUUACCAAGGCGACGAUCAGUAGCCGACCUGAGAGGGUGAUCGGCCACAUUGGAACUGAGACACGGUCCAAACUCCUACGGGAGGCAGCAGUGGGGAAUAUUGCACAAUGGGCGAAAGCCUGAUGCAGCAACGCCGCGUGAGCGAUGAAGGCCUUCGGGUCGUAAAGCUCUGUCCUCAAGGAAGAUAAUGACGGUACUUGAGGAGGAAGCCCCGGCUAACUACGUGCCAGCAGCCGCGGUAAUACGUAGGGGGCUAGCGUUAUCCGGAAUUACUGGGCGUAAAGGGUGCGUAGGUGGUUUCUUAAGUCAGAGGUGAAAGGCUACGGCUCAACCGUAGUAAGCCUUUGAAACUGGGAAACUUGAGUGCAGGAGAGGAGAGUGGAAUUCCUAGUGUAGCGGUGAAAUGCGUAGAUAUUAGGAGGAACACCAGUUGCGAAGGCGGCUCUCUGGACUGUAACUGACACUGAGGCACGAAAGCGUGGGGAGCAAACAGGAUUAGAUACCCUGGUAGUCCACGCCGUAAACGAUGAGUACUAGCUGU